UCCAGCUUAUCGCUGGCGGUCUCCUGCGAGUUCCUCCCUUGCGGGUAUGGCAACACAGGACAAGGGUUGCGCUCGUUGCGGGACUUAACCCAACAUCUCACGACACGAGCUGACGACAGCCAUGCAGCACCUCGACCCCACUCCCUUGCGGGAUAAACCGGUUUCCCGAUCCGUUGAGAGGCCGUUCGAGCCCAGGUAAGGUUCUUCGCGUUGCGUCGAAUUGAACCACAUGCUCCACCGCUUGUGCGGGCCCCCGUCAAUUCCUUUGAGUUUCAGCCUUGCGACUGUACUCCCCAGGCGGCACAUUUAACGCGUUAGCUCCGGCACGGACAGACUGAACUGCCCACACCAAAUGUGCAUCGUUUAGGGCGUGGACUAC
rnacentral:misc_RNA from 1 species